rnacentral:lncRNA from 1 species
GGUGGAGAUUCCUGCACACCUGAAGCCUUCUGAAGUGUUACACCAUCAUUACGCAAAGGGAGCCUCAGGAACAAGGGGAGGAACAUGCUGGUGUCUGGACAGCCCUGAGAGGUAGGGAGCAGCACCCCAGGAGCCCUGCAAGGACCAGAAAUGUCAUUCCCUUCAGUCUCUGUCUACAGGCAAACCAAGCACAGCAGCUAAGAUGCUUUUUAGUGAGCUGAAUUACCACAUUUGCAGGCAGCUUUAAGCUUCUGUCUUCUUUAUAGCAUGGAUUUGGAUCCCAGACAUCCUACAGUGCCCAGCUCCUGCUGGUGCAAAUGGAGCCAGCUACUCCUGCCCAGCUCCAUCAGCAGUGGCCUCGGGACAGUUCAUCUCAAAGCAGCCUGUCCCCAUGACCUGUGUGACCACUGCAGUCCCUCCAAGCAAGACAGGGGAAAACACAACGUGCCAGAGGUUGGUGGGGUGCUCAUCCAAGCAGAAGUGGCUCCAGCACCAUGCUCUGCUCUGACCUUCCCAGGCUCAGAUGUUCUCUGUGGCCAUCAGCCCACCUGAGAUAACCUUUACCUACUGUGCAACGUGGGGAUGUUGGAUGAGUGCCCAGGAUAUGCUCACCCAACAGACACUGCUCCCAGAACUUGUCUGCACAAGGAGAUACACCAAUUCAUCUCAUCUAAUUCUGGAAGGGGUUUGGGUUGGACAGCUGUCAGCUCUUCCCUGCUGUCACACAGUGGAUCCAAGGCCCUCUUGUUAGAAGGGAAACUUGCUGCUGUGUUUCACCUUGCUAAUAUCCACAUCAGGGCCUUUGCCAAGCCUGAGAGAUAAAAGAAGAUGAGGAUCAAAUCUUCUGGAGGCACGGAGGAAUGUAGUUCCUGAAUCCCAAGAACUGAAUAGCAUUGUGGAUUGGCUCUUCCCAUUCCCUGUGCCCCAUCUGAAGCAUAUGGUCAUUCUCCAGCUCAGUAUGCUCUGGGGAACCUGAGAUAAGACAAGAAGGCUUCUGGGUCAACCUUGGUCUUGUGGAGGGGAACAGAUGGGUUUUCUGGUGGGACUGCCAUCCUGAAAAGCAAUUACACAUGAAGCCAUCCCCAACAGACUGCGAUGUGCUCUGGCCCAGGGCCCAAGUCAUCGUGGGUUUGGAUUUUAAUUAGGGCCGUUUUGGGUAUCUGUUCUCUACUUCCCUCCAGAUAAUGAUUUAAUUAUUACAGACAUGUCUUCAAAUUAGCAGCUUCCUCAGUGGAUUAUUCAGCUGGGAUCUCCUCAGUUACAGUGCCCAUCUCACUGCCAUUAAAAGAAGAGGCAGGAAAACAUGAAGGCAAACUGAAACUUCCUGGAAAGAGAACCCACGCAGGCACCCACCUGCAGAGCAGGGGCCACUGUCAGGCUCUUCUCCUCCCUUUAUCUCACAGUGGAUUAAAAAGCCUAGCUCCAAAACACAUGCUGAGUGCCUGCAUGAUGCAAGACCAUGGAUGGCAUAACAGCUGCUUGAGUCCACCUGUCACUGAGCAUGGUUAUCAGCAGACCACAAGCAGGUGGGGAGUCCAAGGGUGAGAAGGAGAGAGUGACAGACUGGAAGGUAGGACCACAAACCACUUCUUUCUAGUGGGAUGGCAUGUGUGGUGAUCUCCAAGGAGAAAGCAGCUAGGGAGACAUGGUGAGGACCCCAUUUAUUGCUCAUGUUGGAGCCUCCCAGCCAGCUCCGUGUUGGGAAUUACUACAGGGGCAAGGGGAAGGCAGGUGAUAGUGGGAGCAAGCAGAAGAUAAGGUGUAAGUCCUGACAGCAAGCCAGACCUACUCCUUGUGCAGUAGAGCCAGGCAGGGACUGUGCCAGGCUCCAGCAAGGCUCCAGGCCUCAGGGAUGAAGGCUGGAAGAGAACAGCAGCACUGGUUGCAAAAAAGAAAUACCAGACACAGGCAGAAUGAAGGACACAGCACAGUGAUGGUGAAACCUUCAGAGUGUAGCUUGACAACAUGCCUUGGUGCCAAUGAGCAGUAACUCAUCCACAGAACAGCCAAGUUCUGACUAAAUCACCAGGAGAUGAGCUGCUUCCCUGCUGCAAGAGCUGAGCACGUUCAUGCUGUGGGGCUGCAGCAAGAUCCUUAGGGCCUGACAUCACCCCUCUCCCCAUGGCAGGCCAAGGAAGAGGAGGAUGUGCACGUGUGGCUCUCCAUCCCUCGCACAAAGCUCCAGCCACGCACUGAGACUCUCUUUGGUCCUUUUCUACCACAGCGUGUGAGCUUCUGACUGCAGAAGCUGCAGGAUUUCCCUUGCUGGCAGUGCUGGGACUCCCAUGCUACAGGCAGGGAAGUGGAUUUUGCAGCAGUUGCUGGAGCAGCACUGCUGCCUCUCCCUGCUGCAAUGGGAGCUGGGGCCACUGUGGGAAGUCUCUGCUGGCUCCUCUGUCACUGCAGCUCACAGCACAGCAGCUUAAAGCAGCUGCAGCUCUUGCCGCUGCAAGAGGAGUCCUCGAGCACAGCCAUGCGUGAGUCUGCAUCUGGAAACACAGCCUGGGUGUCUCAAAAUGAGCCCAAUGCCCUAUUUGUGAGGCUACAGCAGCUCUCCUCCCCUGGUUCCCUGCCUGAGCACACAAAGCAGCUGGGCAGUAAAGCAGCUGGGUGAUGCAGCCUGUUUCCCAGCUAACAGGGCUUGGGACACAAAGGCCAGGUAUUGUCUGUCUGUCCACCUCUCCUGUGGUCACAGGCCUGGGAGAGUUCUGAGCUCUCUAUCCCAUUGGAUUUGCUAUGAGACCAUCAUGCCUGACAGUGAUGGGGUGAGGGAAAAGGCUGCGCCAACACGAGCCAUUUCAUUUCCUUGAGAAACUGGGCUAAAGAAGAUGGGAGUGGAAGUGACACAAAAGAGAGGAUAUUCAUUAACCCGAUAAAACCUCCUGGAAUAUGAUAACAGCAGCAAUAACAGACACCUCCCCUCUGGCUGAGGACAAAGAAAGGCUUCCUAGUUAUGAAGAACAGGAAGAAAAUUGGAGUGGAAGAAAGGAAAUGAUGUCUGAAAUGUCAGAUGUUAUUAAAAAGCCUUUAUCGAGGGAGAAACGAUGAGCGAUGAGAGUGGGGAUACGAUGGGAAGCUGAACAGCUGGAGAGUGAGUGGGAUGGAGAGGAAGCAUCCAAGCAGGGCUCUGCUGGCCCCUGGCAGCCACACAGUGCCUGUGGCAGAGGGCCAACUCCUGGAGGCACACACAGGGCUGUGCAGUGAGGAGGGGAGGGCAGCAGCCAUGGGGAGCCCCAUGCGGAUCGAUGAGCCCCACAAAGCUGCUGUGAAUGUCUCUGUGCUUUGAGGCAUCCUGUGCAGCAUCACCAGCCCUGCUCCCUGCCACCCGUGGGCCUCACCACUGCCAUAACGUGAUGUCCCUGCUCUGCACGUGGAUGCUACAUUGCUUUCUCAGGGCACCAUCAGCACAGCCAGGAACCGACAACCUACCAAAAUCAUGAGCUGAGAAGCAAAUCAAGCAGCCCCUCCAGCUUCCCCAUGAGCAGUGGGACCAAGCCCCAGGUGCUGUCCUACCACCCCAGGAGCUGAGCUGCAGCACACACAGCCAGGCAGAGCCCCAGCUGGUGCCCACACCAGGUGAGCGUGGCCUCAUGUGGCCCCGGCUUUCCAGGCUGAUGGCCAAAGAGAGGAGAAUGUGGGCUGGAUCUGUGUCACGCAGCAUUGCGGGCUCUCCGGCUCCCGCAGCAGAGUGAAGGCAGCUCCAGCCCAGGAGGCUCAGCCAGAGCUGCUCUGCUCUGGUUCUCCCAGCACAGACACAAAGUCCCUCUCCUGCUCACACUGCUGAGAUGAGCCGGCCCUCCCCAGCCUCUUUGGCGUCUUGCAGGCAGCGAAGCGAGGAGAUCUGCAGGCAGGAGUGGCUCAGACUCCCCACUGCAGCCUCCCUGCUUGGCAUCGCUCUCUGCUGCUUCCCUGCGAGCUGUGUUUGUGGGUAACACCCCCAAGGGGAGACCCUGACAUGCACAAAGCCAGCUCCCAACCAGCGAGCACUGGAAGCAGGCACACGCAUGCAGAGCCUCUCCUCGACUCUGCUUUAAUAUGCAUGCAAUAUGGCCAGAGCUGCUCUGCAUCUGACAGUAUUCACUUUUCAGAAGAGAAGCAGCAGCAGCCAGCAAACAGCACACAUCUCCCUGCCAGAGCAAGGUCGGGGCAGGCGGGGUGCUGGGAGCUGCGGCUGCACAUGGGAUGGACUCUUUUGAACUCAGACAUCAUCUUCAGAGCACGAUAUGGAGACAGCAAAGCUGUCACAGCGGCUGCUGUCAUUUCAGCAUCCUCUCAGAGCUGCCAGUCUGCACCAGCUGCAGCCUGCCCUGGGUACCAGCGUUACCAGCACUCAUCCCGUGCCCACGAGCCCUCCCAGAUGCACCACGUGUGGCAUCGUGUGUGCCUGGAAGCUCCUUCUUCCAGAGGAUCAGCCUCAACCCAAGCUGGUGGUGAGUGGGGCAGAGGCAGACUGCAGAUCACCGGAGCACGACCUGCAGCACCUCGUGCUUUGGGGAGGAGGGGCUCAGGCAAACCCCCACGUGUGCCAUAACUGCUGCUUGAUGGAGACAGAUUUCUCUUUCCUCCUCCCCAGAAUCACAACUUGGAUGAUAAUCCCUGGAUUGCUGCCAUCGCUUUGGGGCUGCCAUAUUAACAAAAAAAAAAAGGGUUCUCAUUUGAUCAUCUGCUUGCAGUUAAUUUAGUUACAAGAGUUUUGCAGUGAUCAUUUUUGGAGAUGGCAAUCGGAGCAUCUCUGCGAGCAGAAAUGGCUAUCGUUCCCCAUCUCCUUGGUGUUUACAUGCAGAUAAAGACAUUUUGUCUCCUAAAAUGAAGCCAAAAUCAGCCCCAGCACUGCCGAUCGUUGCACGGCUCUUCACGAGCGCCGGUGUUGCUUUCAAAUCACACGUCGUCAAUAAAUCUAAUUCUAACUGCCCUGCAGCAAAUGGCACCAGUCUGCACUUUGAGAUCUCUCCCACACAUACUCCACUGCCUAAAAAUACCAGCGCUUUAAUUCUCAAAUGACUCGGCUAUUGCACAGCCACCUUCUUUUUCUUUAAUGUACACUGCUGCAUGGCUCGGUGCAGGACAUCUGUUACACUACAAAGGGUUUGGGGAAGCAGGGACCAGGAGGGGAAACUCAUCCCUGAUGUCUCACCUCUGCAUCAGCCAAAAUAUAACCUAAAACUCAACCCACUGCCAAAGAGAAGGCCGGUUGUCUCUGCUGCCCGGCCCAGGCACGCUGGCAGCACUCAGCCAGUGUAGUUUCUGCCUCAGGACAGAGCACACGUGGAUCUCAGACAGCAUGGACAAAGCAAAGCCUUUCUGGACCUGGGCUGGAAGAAAAGACAACUUUUAUCAGGAAAGGUGAGCCUGCUGGUCAGGAGAGCUCACCAUUAAACUCUGACAGGGCUAAGAUAAAGCCAUGUUGUUGUGCUCAAU